rnacentral:rRNA from 1 species
UACGAAGGGGGCUAGCGUUGCUCGGAAUUACUGGGCGUAAAGGGCGCGUAGGCGGAUAGUUUAGUCAGAGGUGAAAGCCCAGGGCUCAACCUUGGAAUUGCCUUUGAUACUGGCUAUCUUGAGUUCGGGAGAGGUGAGUGGAAUGCCGAGUGUAGAGGUGAAAUUCGUAGAUAUUCGCAAGAACACCAGUGGCGAAGGCGGCUCACUGGCCCGAUACUGACGCUGAGGCACGAAAGCGUGGGGAGCAAACAGG